rnacentral:lncRNA from 1 species
GCGAGGCGGCGGCUGUGCCGCCCGGCCCCGUCGGGGGCGAAGCGUCGUCUCCAGCAGCUCCCCUCGCCCGCUUCCAUCACCCCGACGCGGCUUCCGCGGCCCGUGCGAAGCGUGGCAUGACGAAAUGCUGCUUGCUCCCCUGUGCCCUCCCUCAGCCCCUGCGCGGGCGGCACAAGGCAGCGCCCUGAUGGUGCUGUGCAUCAGCCUCAGAGCGUUUGCUGGCCGGGGUGCUGCUGCUACCAAAGCCGUGGCUCUGACCCAGACUCCAUUAAAAAUCAUCAUCCUCUGAAGUACCGAUUUCUGCCAGUCUUUGCAGACAACAUUUGAAGCAAACCUUUUUUCUGCUCAUCAGUAUCACCUCCCAUGUGAGACAGGAUUAGGAGCAACCCAAAUUUUGCAAUAAGGAAGGCUCCAGAUGGAUGGAUGGAUGGACGGAUAGAGGGAUGGAUGAAAGAUGCAAGACCACUCGAGCUCCAGUGGCCAUCUAAGGCUGUGUGCUUGCACAAGCAAUACCAGAGACAAAUCUGUUCGUGAACCAGCCACACGAUUUUCAAGCUGGCAGAUAAACUAGAGAAGAAACCAGCUUGCACAAGCCUGAAUCCUGCAGGGAACAGUAAGGAGCAAUGUCAGCUUCAGGAUCUGAGCAAGAAGAAAACUGCAGUACUGGGCUUGAACACACCUGGCAUUGGCAGCAGGGCACUUCCACAGCUCAGAAGAGCUCACUAUUCAUCUGAGACUUUGGAUUCGCUUCUCUGCCUUGCAGCUCUGCACAAGCAGCUGGGCAGAGCUCACCAGCUCUCUAGUCCUUAUCUGCCCUCUCUCACAUUUGGAAAAUGCAGCGGCCUUUCCCAAGGCAAAAUGCAAAAUGCUGGUGAGGAACAAGGAUUUAUCUGCUCUAUCACAGCAGGUAUAGAAAAAAGUGUGACAUGAAGGCAGGUUAUGUGCCUGGUCCCACUGGUCCCAACUCCUCAACACGAGGCAAGACAUAUUUCUGUUUAGUACAAAAGGCAAACUGGAAAGUCAUCCUGUGAGUGGUCCUGUCUUUCCCCCACCACAAAGCUGGUAAAAAGGUACACUGUGAAAAAGAUAUUUGUUGUUGUUUGUUUGUUUUGGGGUUUUCGUUUGGUUUUGUUUCAUUUUGUUUUUUGUUUAGGGGAGCCAUUUAACACACGAUCAACUCCUAUCACCUAAUAAAGUUGUUAUAAGAAAAAUUACA